AUUGAACGCUGGCGGCAGGCUUAACACAUGCAAGUCGAGCGAGCGGCGGACGGGUGAGUAAUGUCUGGGAAACUGCCUGAUGGAGGGGGAUAACUACUGGAAACGGUAGCUAAUACCGCAUACCAUCAGAUGUGCCCAGAUGGGCUUAGCAAGUAGGGGGGGUAAUGGCUAACCAAGGCGACGAUCACUAGCUGGUCUGAGAGGAGGACCAGCCCCACGGGGACUGAAACAGGGCCCAGACUCCGACGGGAGGCAGCCGUGGGGAAUAUUGCACAAUGGGCGCAAGCCUGAUGCAGCAAUGCCGCGUGUGUGAAGAAGGCCUUCGGGUUGUAAAGCUCUUUCAGCGAGGAGGCGUUAAUCGCAGAAGAAGCACCGGCUAACUCCGUGCCAGGAGCCGCUGUAAUUC
rnacentral:rRNA from 1 species